rnacentral:rRNA from 1 species
UACAGAGGUCUCAAGCGUUGUUCGGAUUCAUUGGGCGUAAAGGGUGCGUAGGCGGCGCGGUAAGUCGGGUGUGAAAUCUCGGAGCUUAACUCCGAAACUGCAUUCGAUACUGCCGUGCUUGAGGACUGGAGAGGAGACUGGAAUUUACGGUGUAGCGGUGAAAUGCGUAGAGAUCGUAAGGAAGACCAGUGGCGAAGGCGGUGUUCUGGACAGUUACUGACGCUGAGGCACGAAGGCCAGGGGAGCAAACGGG